UACGUAGGGGGCAAGCGUUGUCCGGAUUUAUUGGGCGUAAAGCGCGCGUAGGUGGCCCCGUAAGUCCGCUGUGAAAGUCAAAGGCUCAACCUUUGAAAGCCGGUGGAUACUGUGGGACUAGAGUACGGAAGAGGCGAGUGGAAUUCCUGGUGUAGCGGUGGAAUGCGCAGAUAUCAGGAGGAACACCAAUAGCGAAGGCAGCUCGCUGGGACGUUACUGACACUGAGGCGCGAAAGCGUGGGGAGCGAACAGG
rnacentral:rRNA from 1 species